rnacentral:rRNA from 1 species
UCCUGGCUCAGGAUGAACGCUAGCGACAGGCUUAACACAUGCAAGUCGAGGGGCAUCAUGAGGUAGCAAUACCUUGAUGGCGACCGGCGCACGGGUGAGUAACGCGUAUGCAACCUGCCCGAUACCGGGGUAUAGCCCAUGGAAACGUGGAUUAACACCCCAUAGUACUUUUAUCCUGCAUGGGAUGUGAGUUAAAUGUUCAAGGUAUCGGAUGGGCAUGCGUCCUAUUAGUUAGUUGGCGGGGUAACAGCCCACCAAGACGAUGAUAGGUAGGGGUUCUGAGAGGAAGGUCCCCCACAUUGGAACUGAGACACGGUCCAAACUCCUACGGGAGGCAGCAGUGAGGAAUAUUGGUCAAUGGACGAGAGUCUGAACCAGCCAAGUCGCGUGAGGGAAGACUGCCCUAUGGGUUGUAAACCUCUUUUAUAAGGGAAGAAUAAGUUCUACGUGUAGAAUGAUGCCUGUACCUUAUGAAUAAGCAUCGGCUAACUCCGUGCCAGCAGCCGCGGUAAUACGGAGGAUGCGAGCGUUAUCCGGAUUUAUUGGGUUUAAAGGGUGCGUAGGCGGUUUAUUAAGUUAGUGGUUAAAUAUUUGAGCUAAACUCAAUUGUGCCAUUAAUACUGGUAAACUGGAGUACAGACGAGGUAGGCGGAAUAAGUUAAGUAGCGGUGAAAUGCAUAGAUAUAACUUAGAACUCCGAUAGCGAAGGCAGCUUACCAGACUGUAACUGACGCUGAUGCACGAGAGCGUGGGUAGCGAACAGGAUUAGAUACCCUGGUAGUCCACGCCGUAAACGAUGCUCACUGGUUCUGUGCGAUAUAUUGUACGGGAUUAAGCGAAAGUAUUAAGUGAGCCACCUGGGGAGUACGUCGGCAACGAUGAAACUCAAAGGAAUUGACGGGGGCCCGCACAAGCGGAGGAACAUGUG